rnacentral:lncRNA from 1 species
CAUGCUCCUGACGUACCAAUUUGUGCUAGUUCUGCUAGGGUAAAUGUUAAGGUAAUGUUCCUAGGACCAUGGCCACUAUGGCCACUAUGAGCAGGAACUUCAGGAGGAGGGGCAUGGUUAAUUGUAUCAUGCUACAUCUUGAUAAAGAUUAGUCUUUAAUCAUCCAAUUGCAUGCAUCGCUGCUAAGACUAUUAGGGUGGAGGACCAAAUACAGCACGCACACAGCCGCGCCCCACGACAUUUCCAACUUCAGCAACCAUUACUACAGAAAGAAAAAGAAUAAACAAAAUCCAAUACAAGAUAAGUAUAAUAUUGAUAGGUUCCAAAAUCCAUAUAUAACAAAUGGAACAGUCAUGCUCCUAACAUAUAAUAUAAAAGAAUGGCCUAUUCUUUCAUCAACUACUCAGUCUCUCAACAUAACCAGACAAGGGUGCAAAAAGACAAUAAGAUCAUACUGUUAAAUAAGUGAUAGCACCAUAUUGGUUGCUAAGGCAAUGCAAUUUCUUCUCACAUCACAAGUUCACAACCAAAUUAAACAUUUCUAACCCUAAAAAUAUCACGUAACCAAUACAAAAACACUGCCAUGCAUUUCUUCUUCUCAAUAUUGCUUGAUUCACAUGAAAUAAUCAUAAAUUGCGGAGCGGGAUUUGUUUACUUUCCUCAACUGCCCGCGUGAUCGCAGAAAAAUAGAAAAAGAAGAAAAUAAGGAAUAGAUGGAUGGAGGAGCUCACCACGACGAGACAUGUUCGCGGCGGCACGGAAUAGGCUGAUGCCACCACGUUGAGCCAUG